GUUUCAAUUACAGACAUAUGCAAGACAGCGCAGGGUCUUUCCAUACUCUAUAAACAUUCCUGCUUAGAUUUCUUCAUAAGGUGAAAGAAUUCUUCAAUAUUUCACAACUGUAGAAAUGCAUCUAGGCUAUGAAGAGUUUGGAAUUUUUUUGUUUUCGUUUUGGGACAUGUCAUUAUCUUAGCAGGGCAGAAGUCUAAAUAACUUUUUUCCUUCCCCUACCAUGCAUCCAAUAUCCUGCAGAAGAACACAAGCCUACUGGGGGAGAGAAACUAGACCACUUAUACAUUUCCCCUGUUCUUGCUUCAGAAUUGAUUGCAUCUCCAUCUUAGAGGACAUAACAUCUGGCUAAUGUCCAGAUACUAAAUCAAAGACUAGCUUGAAGAAAACUGCUAUAACUUGGUUAUCAUGAAAAACAGUACUGUUCUUUUCUAUUAAUAAACCACAGUUUUUACACUGAAUUUACAGGAAACAGUGCUUUUCAUUCACAUACCAUACUGGCGAAGAUCCAGGCAGAGAUUAGCUCCAUCUACUACGGUGGCAUUUCGGCAAAUGGUCCACAGAUUGAAGUACAUGUAAACAGGCAGAGAAGUGAAAGCUGUAACGCCAAGCCAGGCCAACAUAAAGAUGUAUGUCAGCAUAAUAAACUGCAGCAAAAGAGGGGAAAACAAAACCAGCGUUUUGGUCUGAUAAUGGAUUCAUGAUCUGAUCAGAGUGAGUGACAGAGCACUAACAUGAUGUUUCUGAAGAACAAGCAGCUACGCUUCCAGAAGUGCAAGCACACUCCACGUUCCUGUCACUCUUGGGCCUAUGAUUGAUGCGAAGCACCACAUCUGAAGUACAGACAGCUGCAUGCUUCGUGAAGCACGUCUCCCUCUCUCCCAUCACCACUACUCCAUAGUUAAGACAAGAGGCCACAUGGUUGUUUUUUCCACUAUCAAUCAUGAUGAAAAAAUUUGAAUGAAAUACUAUAGGCUUUGCUUGCUUUUGCUUUUAAAAUCUGGGUCUUAAUACAAGCGAGUCAUUAUCCAUGGCUGCCACAGAACCUCACUGGCAUUGAACCAUUUUGCAUUGAACCAAUGAGACAAUGUAUUUGUCAUUUUGUUACUGUAUUUAGGCAUAUUUAGGGUCUACAUACAAGGGAAUUUGUCAUUCAAAACAAACCAGGGUGCUUAGCUCUGUUAGUAAGAAAUGCAUUAAAUUACAUGCUUUGCAACAUGUGUUCUCCAAAGGCGACUCAUUUUCUUUUUUUAGCCAUGAGCCUCAAGAGCAGAGCAGUCUGCUUGUAGGAGGCAUUGAACUCUACUUGCUUCAGGGCCAGUAAUUAUGCUGGCACACCCAGCUUCUGUAAAUACGUAAGCAUGCUACAUUACUACUCUGCUGCUAAUUUGAGAUGACUAGCAGACACAUUCAUCAAUAACAAAUUACCUUCUCAUUUUAUGCUGUGGAAAGGAUACGAAGAUGCUACACGGUUAAAUGUGGAAGAUAAGUCAGCCUCUAAAUGUUGAAACCAAAUAGCCCCAAGAUUUGAUGGCUUCAGAGAUGCUGAUAAAUCUAAACACAUGACUGAAAGAAAUUUCAGCACACUAACAUUUUUUUAAGCUGUUUACCACAGAAUAAACAUUGACUCAGAGAAUAAGAAAUAAGGGAUAUUUUUGAAAGUUGAAUAAGCUGGUCCACAGUCUGCUUAAAAAUUAAUCCUUAAAGAGUAAAUAAGGGGAAAAUGGAAGAAAUUUUCUAGUUCUUUUUUAAUAUAAGAUCUCUCACAUUAGGUGAUAAAGAGGAAAGCCUAAGAUAAAUACAGAUUCUAGUUAUGGAAAUCAAAUGAGGUCAAACUCAAAAGGGUUGUAAAUGAUAGUAAAAAUCGUUAGAGGGGUGGCUUGUCCAUGUGGACCUGAUCAGGAAAAGCAAUCCAAAACAACAAAAGGUUCGAAUUUUAGGUGAGGUAGUUUUAUUACUUUGAAGUUACGGGAUGGACAGUCUCAAGCAGUAUUAAAGAGACCGUAAUUUGAUUUACUUUAACUCACUUCCAAAGAAUAUUAAAUAAAAGGCAUUUUAAUUCUGAGGAAGUGUACUUACAUAGGGAUUUAAUGUAGUUUAAUUAAUCCAGUUUAAAAUUCAAUUCAGAUUAAUUUUCCUGAUUGUCCCUAGGUAGACGAGCCUUUCAGCAGUUGUUUGAAAAGCUGGAGAAUUUGUAGCACUAAAAAUAAUUCUCAGAAGGAUGCAGGAAAGUAAAAGAUAAAGUGGAGCAAAGAAUAGUAUUCUGUUUAAUACAUUGAGUCUCUGCUUUCUAUUAUUUUCUUUUUUUAAUACUCACCACUUCACCUUUACCUGCCUGUUUGUAAGUUAUGAAUCAUUUUAACUUUUCCCUUAACAUCAAACUAGUUUAAAAGGGAAAA